GCUCAGUAACACGUCGGUAACCUGCCCUAUGGUCGAGCAUAACCUCGGGAAACUGAGGGUAAUUCUUGAUAGGAGAUUUGGCCUGGAAUGGCAUUUCUCCAAAACACGUGCCGUAGGAUGGGCCGGCGGCUGAUUAGGCUGUUGGUGGGGUAACGGCCCACCAAACCAAAGAUCAGUACGGGCCUUGAGAGAGGUAGCCCGGAGAGGGACACUGAGAUACAGGUCCCAGCCCCACGGGGUGCAGCAGGCGCGAAAACUUUACAAUGCACGAAAGUGUGAUAGGGGGAUACUCAGUGCUUACGGCUCUGCUGUAGGCUUUUGUCGAUCGUAAAUAGGUCGGUGAAUAAGUGGUGGGUAAGACUGGUGCCAGCCGCCGCGGUAACCCCAGCGCCACAAGUGGUCAUCACGAUUAUUGGGCCUAAAGCGUUCGUAGCCGGUUUGGUAAAUCUCUUGUGAAAUUGUUCGGCUUAACCGGACAGCGUGCAGGAGACACUGCCAGGCUCGAGACCGGGAGGGGUUAGAAGUAUGCCGUGGGGACUGGUAAAAUGGGAUAAUCCACGGUAGACUACCGAUGGCGAAGGCAUCUAACCAGAACGGAUCUGACGGUGAGGAACGAAAGCUAGGGGAGCGAACCGGAUUAGAUACCCGAGUAGUCCUAGCCGUAAACGCUGUGAGCAAGGUGUCGCGUAUCUCACGAAGAUGC
rnacentral:rRNA from 1 species